rnacentral:rRNA from 1 species
UACGUAGGGUGCGAGCGUUGUCCGGAAUUACUGGGCGUAAAGAGCUCGUAGGUGGUUUGUCGCGUUGUUCGUGAAAACUCACAGCUUAACUGUGGGCGUGCGGGCGAUACGGGCAGACUUGAGUACUGCAGGGGAGACUGGAAUUUCUGGUGUAGCGGUGGAAUGCGCAGAUAUCAGGAGGAACACCGGUGGCGAAGGCGGGUCUCUGGGCAGUAACUGACGCUGAGGAGCGAAAGCGUGGGGAGCGAACAGG